rnacentral:rRNA from 1 species
CAGCAGCCACGGUAAUACGUAGGGUGCUAGCGUUAAUCGGAAUUACUGGGCGUAAAGCGUGCGCAGGCGGCUAUGCAAGACAGAUGUGAAAUCCCCGGGCUCAACCUGGGAACUGCAUUUGUGACUGCAUGGCUAGAGUACGGUAGAGGGGGAUGGAAUUCCGCGUGCAGCAGUGAAAUGCGUAGAUAUGCGGAGGAACACCGAUGGCGAAGGCAAUCCCCUGGACCGGUACUGACGCUCAUGCACGAAAGCGUGGGGAGCAAACAGGAUUAGAUACCCGCGUAGUCCCUGUCUCUUAUAC